rnacentral:rRNA from 1 species
UACGUAGGGGGCAAGCGUUGUCCGGAGUUACUGGGCGUAAAGCGCACGCAGGCGGUCUCUUAAGUUUGGAGUGACAGUUGGUGGCUUAACUGCCAAAGUGCUUCGAAAACUGAGAGACUUGAGGGCUUCAGAGAGACACGGAAUUCCGGGUGGAGUGGUGAAAUGCGUAGAGAUCCGGAGGAACACCAAAGGCGAAGGCAGUGUCCUGGGGAGUACCUGACGCUCAGGUGCGAAAGCCAGGGGAGCGAACGGG